rnacentral:misc_RNA from 1 species
UCCGGCUUGUCGCCGGCGGUCCCUUUAGAGUGCCCAACUGAAUGAUGGCAACUAAAGGAGAGGGUUGCGCUCGUUGCGGGACUUAACCCAACAUCUCACGUCACGAGCUGACGACAGCCAUGCACCACCUGUGAAGAUGCCCCGAAGGGAAGACCUGUUUCCAGGCCGGUCAUCCACAUGUCAAGCCCAGGUAAGGUUCUUCGCGUUGCGUCGAAUUAAACCACAUGCUCCGCUGCUUGUGCGGGCCCCCGUCAAUUCCUUUGAGUUUUAGCCUUGCGGCCGUACUCCCCAGGCGGGGCACUCUGCAAAGACUGCCGGUGAUAAACCGGAGGAAGGUGGGGAUGACG